rnacentral:lncRNA from 1 species
GAACUAAGUUAAAUUAGUGGUCCAUUAAUAACAAUUUUAUUAUUAAAAAAAGUUUGAUCGAAGUUGCGCGAACGCAUACUCCGAAUUAUUUUUUUUAGAAUCGUAAUUAUGUUACGCGAACUUAUACACAAUCAUGAUGGUAUUUUAAAUGCGCCUAAAGCAUACUAGUGAGUAGAUAAGAAGAGUAAAGCAAAACUAAAAUAAAUAAUAAAAACUCAUUUCAUGCUCCAUUUCUUUUAAUUUCUCCUUUUAUUAGACCAAACCCGAUACCUAAAGCAUGGAGACAAAUCAAUUGCUAAUGGGCUUCGGUCUCUCCCCUCACUCCCACGGCCCCAACAAUCAGUCAAACAAUUUUAACAAAAAUCAAAUGAGCAAACAGUAACAAUCAAGAACAAGAAAUAAAGAGCUAAUUAAUUAGAUUACAAAGAAAGAAAGGAACAGAAAAUUGAUCCAAGCCUGACAAGAGCCUCUACUACCCCAUUUGCUAACCCAAACCCAAUCUUCAAACUAAAACUUAACAAUUGCGUAUUAACCUCAACCCCUUUCGAUCAAAUUUUAGCUAUGCCUUAUUUCCACAAACUAAUCACACCACUCUACUGUAAAUGCCAAACCAAAUCUAACAAAGUAGUAUAACAAAAUUAGCUAUUAAGUUAGUGUGAAAAGACCAUCAAAAGCCCGAUGUAGAAAAGAUGAACCGAAUGCCUAACACCUAUGCACAAUAUGUUGAAUCUUUAAAUUUCAAAUAACUGAAGUGUUCCAAAUAACUCUUGAAAAACUAAAAAUGUAGUAGCAAAAGAAAUAGGUGCGGACAAUGAUAUCCAAAACAUGAAAAAGCAGUUGACUCACUCACAACUCACUACACCAAAUAAUUUUAAGAAUCCUAAGAAAACUGUUGUUCUUUCAAUUACACUUGGAGAUAAUUUGCAGCAAGGAAAAUUUGGGAACUUAACUAAACUUCUCAAGAUAAAAUGUCGAUUAAGUGAUGAUUUUAAUGUCAAAAAUAAAAAAAAGCAUGCCAGUAAACAUCACACUUUACGUCAAGAAAACACCAACAAGAACGGCGCAUGGAACACAGUUUCAUCAUGAUUAGUUCCAAUAUUCCAACAUUAAUCUCUCACACUAAUCAAACCAAACAGAGAUCCAAAUAAUUCAUGCUCAUUUACCAUCUAAAAAUAUCACCAGAAGAAUUUGAUGAACACACAAUCGACAUAAAACAUAAACUUGAAUCGAGAGGAAGUUAAACAUAAACAACUACUCUAAAGCUCAAACCACCCAAAACAAGUUCAAAUAAAAUGAAUGAUACAGAGAUAAACCUGUUAAGCCAAAAUUCUCUUCAAAAUUAAUGAAGUAGCAAUGAGUACACAGGCCUGAAGUCCGAGAAUUCAGCCGUGAAACAGCAAUAUAAAAACGAGCAAAAAUCGUGAUUAGAACCGCGGGCAGCAAUGGGAACCUCGACUCGACAUCGUAAAUCUCGAAUCGAACACGAACUCAAGCCCAUAUCUCACAAACGAGCUCCAAAAUGGACUAAACCUCCAACGCCAACUAGAGUUGAUAAUCAGCUGAAACCCACUGGUGGAAUGAUUUCUAGAGCAAUAAUCUGCUUUGCUCUGUUCUUGUUACAUAUUCGGAUCAAAUAAUUAGGAGAAAAUAGAAGGCAAAAUCAUUAUGAAAAUUCCCAGAGGUAUCAAAUCAAAUUAAAUAAAAAAAGUGAAGAAUCCCUAACAUUAAUCUUCAGUAGAAAUACGACAAAUCUUACGCCGAAGAUCAAUGUGGAGAUUCUGAAGCACUUGAAAACGGGAAAUUUCAGAUUCACAGCUUCCGUUUUUCACGUCAAUAUAUAGCAAAAGGAAGCAGAAAAAUAUAAGAAAUAUAUGUAAAUAUAGAUGGAGCCGGAGGGAGGUGUGGUCAUUUGAGGGUUGUCGCUGGUUAGGGGUGUGUGGUUGUAUUUUCCGGCAAUUUUUGAGAGAUUCAGAAGGUGGGUCAAGAAGAAGAAGCUUAUGCUUUUUCUAUGGAAAAGCGGUGGAUUUUUGUGUGUCUAUAGGUCUCGGGUCUAGAGUCUGAUAGUCUUCUCUUUAUAUAUCUAGGUCUAGGGUUAUUUAAGGGUGAAUGGUUAUUUUAGGUUUUAAAAUCUGAUGGGCUAAGGUAUUGGGCUUUAAAACUUGGGCUUUUAUAACCAAAUUGGCUUAAUUAACCAAGAAUUUAUCCACCCUACACCAACUCUUGCCUAUAAAAAUAAAAUAAAAAAAAGAUAAAAAUACUACCAAAGUAUUAAUUAGCCCUACUUAAGUAGAAAUAGCCAUUAAAUUAAAACUAACCAUUAAAAAAACUUAUUUUUUUGUGAUAAAAUAAAGUAAAAGAACCAAAAUUAGUUGAAAUAACUAUAUUAGACCUAAACUAAUUUUUUAAAUGCUACAAUGUGAAAAAUCUUGGGGAGGGUCAAAAAUCACAUGUCUACAGCUGGCCCUCUUUGACUGGAAAUACGAAGUAUUUUCAGACAAAGAACGACUAGACAAGUUUUUUGACCGACCCUUAUUUAAAGAGACCAAAGGCUAAAAGAAAGGAGAAUGUGACCGAGCCCUGGUAUCUGAGCUUCCUACAUAUCCUUGACUAUAAAGGAAUCAGGCCACGUGUAGUUCAUAAGUGAGUGAGAUGAUGGAGUAUACCGAGGUGGAAAGCCGAUCGAGGUGCCAUUCUGUCGAGGUUCUGGUCCGCAGUCCUGUUAUUACAUCAAAAUCAAAAAAUGAAAAAGACUAACUAAGCCUGUCAACUAUGAGUUACAAGAUUCCUGUCUAUAAGUCUUCUGAAGCUUGAUCUUAAGUCUUGAACGGCUCUUCAUGAGGACUCUAGAUUUGAACCUUGACGCUUGCUAGUUGCAGGUGCUGGUUCAUUCUUCUUCAGCUUUUCGGAUCAAAACCGAACAUACCAUGCUUGUGACUUCAGUCAUAUCUUGAGCAGCUCACAUUUUUCAUCAACUUCUGCAUUUGGAUUCACUUCUUGGCUUUUUUUAUUUAUUCUGGAUUGUGACUAGCUUCCAUUGAUCAUCUCGGACUGUUGACCCGCAUUCUUGCCGCGAGCUUCUUUUGUUGCUGACUUGAAUUGCAUUAUGAAGCGAAUUCCCUUAUUCUCCAGGUGGAUCCUGAUUGCCAACAUUUGAACCGUAUUCCCUCGUUCUAUAGGUGGGCGCCUGAUUACCAAAGCUUGAAUUGUAUUCCCUUUGUUACUUUAAACUGUUGGCCCUUGAAACCUAUGUUGUCUUCCUUUGAAACUUGAACUGCUUUCCUUGUUCUCCAGGUGGGCGCCUGAUUGCUAAAACUUUAAAUGUAUUCCCUUGCUUUCCAGGUGGGCACGUUAUUGCCAAAACUUUAACUGUAUUCCCUUGCUCUCCAGGUGGGCACCUGAUUGCCAAAACUUUAACCGUUUUUCCUUGAGACUUGAACUGCUUCUCCUUGUUCUCCAGGUGGGUGCCUGAUUUCCAACACUUUACUGACUUGUUUUCCUUUGUUCUCCAGGUGGACUCCUGAUUGCUGAACUUGAACUGUCNNNNNNNNNNNNNNNNNNNNNNNNNAACUCAGUGCGCACACUGUACUUUCUAACUUAUGCCACUUUGAUGUGCUAGUCAGAUUCCCGUUUGUGCAAUUGGAAAGCUGGUGGCAAAGUUUGAAGUCAUUUCUCACUUGUUCUGACCAAACAGACUCAGGAAGAGGAAGUAAACAAGACAAAAGGAAUGAAUAAAGGACAAUGGAAAGAGAUGAUUCCUAACAAGAAAACUACAAAGUAGAAACUUAUCAGAUGUGGAUACCAACUCUAAUGACCAUAACAUGCACUUGUGGCCUAAUCUGUCAAGCAAAUCUUAUGCUCAACUCUUGUUAACCCCUAAACCGUGAAACUGGGCUUCAAUGCUCCGAUUAUCCAGUCUGAUUCACGAUCCCUAUUCGACUUGUAGUGCCCGAAGUGUUUUCACCAUCAAGCCUCUCUCAUUCUGUUCUUUCUCUCAACUCACCAUCACCUUAUGGUGCCUGUGAAGGUUUUCACCGAUAAGACUCUCUCAUUUUGUUCUUUUCUUCUUAUUUCCUAUUAUUCUGGAGAGGACAAAGCAUUAACCAUGGUAAAACAUCAUAUGCUCUUGGCAUGUCUAAACUCAGCACUCUCAAAGAUCAUCUAGGAGGUCUUUUUUGGACUGUAAUAUGGCUUUUGGACAAGGUUAGAAAGAAAGGAUAUCAUAAAGGCUCAAAAUAACUAAAACAAUGGGGUUAAUUUAUUUACAACUUUUGGAAUCCAUUCUAAAAACUUUGCCCCAAUUUCUAAAACAAGGGAAUUUGAUUUUGUUUUAUGGAGUUACUAAGAAAGACUACCCCACUUUCGACUUCGUGGAAUUACGAAAUAUUUUAUUUCGUAUGACCGAGCCAUAAGGCUGCCUACGUAUCUUGAGGUGACAAGAAUCAGGUCAAAUGUAGUUCACAAGACUACUUUUUGUUAUUAUUUUCCUUUUUUUUUUCGUUUUUUUCUUUUUCCUUCUUUUUUCUUUUUUUUCUUCAUCUGUAUUUUUCUCCUUAUUUUUUGAAUUUUCCUUUUAGAAUGAACUUUCUAAAUAAACCUAUGGGGACAUGAACUUUUUUUUUUCCGUAUGAUUCUAACUUGACUCCAAAAGAGGGGAUGUCAAAGAAAUUAGUGCAGGCUCAAAAGGGUAUCGAAUGGUAUAAGUGUUUGGGUAGCUGAAAGAAGGCCUCCCAAUCCUUGAAAAUGCCGAGUAUAACACAUGCAACUUGAAAUGAAAAAGGAAGAGCACACACAACAUUUCUUUUACAGCUUCGACAUUGAUAUCACUGAUAUGCUUUUCACUUUUUUUAGUGCCUUGUCAAGUACAAAACUCUCAUUGGGUGAUUUCUUCUUCACGAUGGAUACCCUCCGUCUAUUUGGAGCAAACUCUCCUGACCUUAUCUUGUGAAUUGAGGUGUACUUGAACUCAAAGCUGCUCACUUUAAAUUGUUGGGACGCACUCUCUUGUAACAAAUUCUUGUCGUCCUAUUAACUUCCCAAACUAUCUGCCCCAGUUUCACAUGGUUCGGGAUUCAAAUGAUCUCAAAAUGUCCAACUCUGUACUUAUUUCCCUCAAGUGUCCCUAUCAUAUUCAAAAUUGUUUCAUUGAUUCAUGAUUAAACUAACUUUUAAGACCAGACCUAGAAUUAUGCGUGCAUGUCAUGUCACUAGAGCCAGCAAGAAAAGAACUAUAAAAGGAAAAGAACUAAACAAAAAAAUGACUAGAAAUAACAGAAAGCAGAAAAUUGCAUUAGCCAGACGGUGAAAGGGUUUGAACAACGAGACAAACAAAACAAACUGAGGUUACGACCCUGGAAAAACCUAAAUAACACUAAAAGGGGUACUACGACUAAAUGAACUAGGCAAAAUAAAAGGAUAGAAGGGUUUGAGUAACAAGACAAUAUCCGGAUUACAACCCUGAAAAUAACCCAGACAACAGAAAUGACAACAAAAUGAACCACCAAGACUCCUCCCUGGCUAGCCAAGAGAUGGAGUGUCUUUUCAAUUAUCAAGCUCGACAUCUUAGGCACUGAGUUCCACAUCAAUAUCACUGGGACCUUCACCAACUUCAAUUACAUUAUCUUCACCAAGUGGCUCAUUGACUCCUUUGACCAACCCUUCGUCAUUGCAGACCAUCCCAACAAUUUGUGCGUUGUCAUGUACCUGUAGAGGAUUAUGUGUGACACUUGGUGUAUUACUGCCUUGGACCACAUCCUUCUUGAAUCAUUCUUUCUAUUCCCUUUUCAAAGCACGACAAUCUUCAACUUUGUAUCCCUGGGCAUUGGAAUGGUAUUCACACCUUUUAGUAGGGUCAAAGCUUCUCGCACGUGGGUCUAUAUAAAUUAGAGGAAUAAGUGCAAUCAUGUCGUAAUUCUUUAAUGUCUCAAACAAAGUUUUAUAGGACCCUCCUAUUGGUGUAAAAUUAUUUUUCAGCCUUUGUUCCCUUCUACACCCUUGGCUUGAAUGUGGGUUAUAGGGCACUUGGAAAUUUUGUGGAGGCUGGUGGGGAUUUUGCGAUGCUCAUGCUCGCCUUUUGAAGUGAUCCAAUCAUUAGACAGAUGGCCGAACACUGUUCGGAGGAUAAUACUGGGGUGGAUUAUGUGGAACUCGGGGAUAUUCAUGGGUCGGUAUUGAGGCUAAAAGCGUUUAGCAGGAAUGCCCACUGGAUCCUAUCGUUGGCGGGACUCAGCAACAUCUUUUCUAUCAAUGGAAGGACUUCCCCGAGCAACUUGUUCAUUCCAUCUAAACAAAAAUUCCCUAAAACUUUUCUUGGGUUUUUUUCUCCAUCUGAGAUAUGGAAGAGGUAGUUUGGGACAAUGUCUAUAUUGUACUAAAAGUGUUGCACAAAAUCUUGAGCCAUGUCAUCCCAUGUAUGUCGCUUACCGACAUCUUGAUGAGUAUGCCAUUCCAAAGCUGCCCCAGUCAGGCUCUCACCAAAUACGCCAUCAGCAACUCAUCUUUCCCGUCAACACUUCUCAUUUCACUGCAAUAACCCCUCAGAUGGGCUACUGGAUCUCCAUGCCCAUCGUACAAAUUAAACUUUGGCAUCUUAAACCUUUUCAGCUUUCUGGAUAUCUCAUCUAGCUCCACUGACUUAGCAGGCUUUACAAUCUCAAGGGGAGGCUCAAAAUGAGGAGUGUAAGAGUAUGAACCCGAGACCUUGAAAAUUGGUUCUGGAGCAUAGUAUUGGGCAUCGAGGAUUUUGAACAUAGUCUCGCUAGGGGAUCGAGGAAAGGUAGCAGGUGGGUGAGCUACAAAAACAUGAGUGGUCAAAGGAGCGAGAUAUGAGGUGGUUCUGGGGGGUGGAGUGUGAAAAGGUUGUGGGGAGAUAUCCUGGACUCGUAACAGCGGCGGAGUGGUGACAAGGCUUUCAGUGUGGUUAAUGGGAACUAAUGGUAGAGGAUUCCCACUAAUCCAGGCUUGGUAUAUUUCGGUCAUCUGUCCUUUCAACCUUAAGACCUCUUCUUUCAACUCAGAUUAUAAUUCAGCAAUUCCUUUAGACGGAUCAAUAACCCUGUGUCCAAGUCUUUGCUAGUCAUGGCUACCUUGCACUUUCACCUUGUGUUGUAUGGAUGAGUUACUUAAAAACCACAAACCAACCACCCUUCUGCUCAAUGAGGUCAUCACGUUAGCGUUAGGGCAUUUAACAACUAAAAAUAUCAUAUUGCAUGCAAUGCACCUAGUAACAAUUAACGGUUCUAGAAUGACUUCGACGGUCACAAGGUCACUUGGCAUCAUCCCAAUUUUGUUCAUUUCAAUCCUCUCUUUUCUUUUUCUUUUCUAGCACUUCUUGGAUUGCUCAUUUUCCUUCCUUUUUUCUUUAAUUAUCACUCUUUUCUUUCCUCUCAUUUCUCACAUCCCAUAAUUUCACCUCUUUUUUUCUUUUCUCUUUUUGUUUUUUUUGAUUUGUUUUUUUUGUUUCCUUCUUUUUUUCCUUUUCCUUUUAAUAAAAAAAUGAUUCGAUCGAACCAUAUGUAGGUUGCCUACGUAUCAUGACGCCGCAUGAAUCAGAUCUUUGAGUAGUUCGGGAAGAUCGGGAAUAAAAUAAACAAACUAACGUUCUCAUUUUCUUUUUCUCUUUUUUUUUACCUUCAUGACUACUCUGAUGAGAAAAAUAAAAUAAAAGAAGUAAAUCCUUUUUUUUUGAAUUUUCUAGACUUAAUGUUCUAUAGCCUAUCCUAACCUCAAUCUUAAACAAACAUAUAUUUUUUUUCUUUUUGAAACAAAUACUCUAUGGGAAAUUAUUAAGGAAAAAACCCUAGAAGGUAAAAAAAUAUUUUUUGAUUCUUUUUUUAGGAAGGAAAUCUAAAGAAUGAACCAAAGAAAAAUAUUUUGAAUUUUCGUUUGAUAUCCUGAAAAAAAGAUUUCGAAACCAAGAAAUGAAAAAGAUAAAAAAAUAUUUUUGCAUUUCAGUUUUUAAUUACCUAAAUGAGAUAUUCUAAAGAUAAACAAAGGAUAAGGUAUGUCUUUUUCUUCUAUGUAAAAUAUCCUAAAGUUCUAGUGAAAAUAAAGGAUUUUUUUUUCAUUUUUCGUUAAUUUACCAAAGGAGAACCUCAAAAGAAAAUCUUUUUGGAUUUUUGGAAUUAAUAUCUUAAAAGAAAACUUUUAAAAAGGUACUAAAAGAUUUUUUUUUGGAAUUUUAGUCUUAAUAUACUAAAAGAAAUAAAAAAACAAUUUUUUAUUUUGAGUUCUAGAUAUUAAUUUCCUAAGGAAAACCACCUCAAACGAUUUUUUAUUUAUUUCUAGAAUUGGUAUUCUAAAGAAAACUUCUAACAGAAGUAUAAAACACAAAACCUCUUUUUUUUGGAUUUUUGAGUUACAACACACUUUUUCAAAUAUAAAGUAGAAAGUACAAUAACAAAAGAUUCGACAUUACUGUACAAAACUAGAAAGUAAAAGACGACAUAAAAUGAAAAACAGACUCAAAACAUUAAAAACAAAUCUCCUUAAGCAACUCCUGAAUAAGCGAUCCUGACUGGAUGGUCCCGAGGUGUCUAUCAUGCUCAAACUCCGGUAAGUAGACUCACACCUGUAUGAGAAAAUUAAGACCAAAUAAGUUAAAGACCUAGAACGCUAUGUGAGACAAUAACUCUUCCCGUUGGACACAUGCAAGACAUGAUUGUGACUAUUUUUCUAAAAUUAACCUAUGUGGCUAAAAAUGCAAGAUUUGGCUAAGACCUUGCAAAGCCAAGAACCUAAGAUUCACUAGAAAGACCGGACCCUAUGUGGGUUGCCUACGUAUCACGCCCCGAAAGACGAGAACCAGGUAUGCGUAGUUCGGGUAGAUUGGAUACGGGCGAGAAUUAAAACAUCAACUAAUUUAGAGAAAAAUAUUUUCUUUGUCUUUUUUUUUUUGAAAAAUGAUGAAACAUGUAAACUCUUUUUAGAUUUUCUUUUCCCUUUUCUUUGAUUUUUGGAAAAUGAUGGGAAAGUGCAAAAUCUGUAUGGAUUUUUCAUAUUUGUUUUGGGUCUUUUCUUAAAAUAAUGUGAAAGAAAAACAUAACUGGGCCCUACUUGUUUUAUUUUACACUUCACACUCUUUUCUUUCUCAUUUAUCCUCAACCAUUAUUGGUUCGCCAAAUGACCCUUUUACCCUUGAAAAUUUCAAAAUGUAGCACAUAGGAUGCAUCAGAAUGAUCUUUUAUUUUUGGGGUACACCUGUCCUAGACGAACCCAACCCCUGUGUUGAGUCCCCAAAGUCAGAUUCACGUGAUGCAAACAAGCGUUCCUACUAGGGAUCCGACAUGAGGCUAUGUUAUUCUAGGUUUAAACCUGGGGUUGUGUUCUUGACCUGGUUUACCUGAGCGGACUACGAGCCAAAGAGGGGGCACGUACCAGGAGCACGAAAGUCUACCCGGCCUUGUUGCUGGCCCAACUUCGUUCUAUUUGGUAUAACUUCUACCGAAAAAGCGGGUCACGCGAACGUGUGCGCCAUUUUCAGAAGACUCAGAGGGGUGGCAUAAGAAGACAGUUAUAUACAAUUCAGACAAUAUUAAAGCGGUAAACAGAUAGCAUUUAGCACAUUAGAUCCACAAAAAACAGUAAUAUCAACAAUAAAUGAAGCCAAGUAAAAAUCAUAUUAACAAGCUUGAAUUCUUGAACCCUGAACCAGAAGUUCUGGGUUCUUGUCCCCAGCAGAGUCGCCAGAGCUGUCACACCUCCUUUUUACUACCCUGGGGAGGGUAUAAGGGAGUUUUUUCCAAUUUAAGUGACUAUCGAAAUGGGAUUAUUUACAUUAAAAUCAAAGUCUUACUUGGGAUAAUUUAUGGUGUCCCAAGUCACCGGUUUAAAAUCCCGAAUCGAGGAUGUUGACUCUAUUCACAGUCUGCAAACACAAAAAUCCAGGUAAGUCAAAAACCCGGGAGAAGAUGUUAGGCAUUCCCGGGUUCCGUGGUUUUAGCACGGUCGCUUUGAUCAUACUUGGCUAGUUAAAUUGUCUAAUUACUUAUUUUAUAACCUAUGUGCAUUUGCCUUUUUUAAUUAAUAAAUUAUCUUGAAUUGGGUCACACGUACGUGUACCCAUUUGUUUGGCGCGUCAAAAAUCACGUCACACGAACGUGUCCACAAUUAGUAGUGCUUUAUUUUUAUUAAGAAAGUUUGGCCGAAGUUGUGCGAACGCAUACUCCGGUUUUGUUUUUAGGAAUCGUAAUCAUGUUACACGAACGUGUCCACAGCCACGAUAGUAUAUUAAACGUGCCUAAAGCAGACUACGAACAUUUGUCAUUUUUAUAUCUAAGUCAUAAGACUAAUACGAGGGCCAUGAAUGAUUAAAUAGUGGAUGCCGCACCUCGAACUAUAUGAACUAAGUUAAAUUAGUGGUCCAUUAAUAACAAUUUUAUCAUUAAGAAAAGUUUGAUCAAAGUUGUGCGAACGCAUACUCCGAAUUAUUUUUUUAGAAUUGUAAUUAUGUUACGUGAACGUAUACACAAUCACGAUGGUAUUUUAAAUGUACCUAAAGCAUACUAGUGAGUAGAUAAGAAGAGUAAACCAAAACUAAAAUAAAUAAAUAAAAACUCAUUUCAUGCUCCAUUUCUUUUAAUUUCUCCUUUUAUUAGACCAAACCCGAUACCUAAAGCAUGAAGACAAAUCAAUUGCUAAUGGGCUACAGUCUCUCCCCUCACUCCCACGACCCCAACAAUCAGUCAAACAAUUUUAAAAAAAAUCAAAUGAGGAAACAGCAACAAUUAAGAACAAGAAAUAAAGAGCUAAUUAAUUAGAUUACAAAGAAAGAAAGGAACAGAAAAUUGAUCCAAGCCUGACAAGAGCCUCUACUAUCUCAUUUGCUAACCCAAACUCAAUCUUGAAACUAAAACUUAACAAUUGCGUAUUAACCUCAACCCCUUUCGAUCAAAUUUUAGCUAUGCCUUAUUUCCACAAACUAAUCACACCACUCUACUGUAAAUGCCAAACCAAAUCUAACAAAGUAGUAUAACAAAAGUAGCUAUUAAGUUAGCGUGAAAAGACCAUCAAAAGCCCGAUGUAGAAAAGAUGAACCGAAUGCCUAACACCUAUGCACAAUAUGCUGAAUCUUUAAAUGUCAAAUAACUGAAGUGUUCCACAUAACUCUUGAAAAACUAAAAAUGCAGUAGCAAAAGAAAAUAGGUACGGACAAUGAUAUCCAAAGCAUGGAAAAGCAGUUGACUCACUCACAACUCACUACACCAAAUAAUUUUAAGAAUCCUAAGAAAACUAUUGUUCUUUCAAUUACACUUGGAGAUAAUUUGCAGCAAGGAAAAUUUGGCAACUUAACUAAACUUCUCAAGAUAAAAUGUUGAUUAAGUGAUGAUUUUAAUGUCAAAAAUAAAAAAAGCACGCUAGUGAACGUCACACUUUACGUCAAGAAAACACCAACAAGAACGGCGCAUGGAGCACAAUUUCAUCAUGAUUAGUUCCAAUAUUCCAACAUUAAUCUAUCACACUAAUCAAACCAAACAGAGAUCCAAAUAAUUCAUGCUCAUUUACCAUCUAAAAAUAUCACCAGAAGUAUUUGAUGAACACACAAUCGACAUAAAACAUAAACUUGAAUCGAGAGGAAAUUAAAUAUAAACAACUACCAUAAAGCUCAAACCACCCAAAACAAGUUCAAAUAAAACAAAUGAUACGGAGAUAAACCUGUUAAGCUAAAAUUUUCUUCAAAAUCAAUGAAGUAGCAAUGAGUACACAGGCUUGAACUCCGAGAAUUCAGCCGUGAAACAACAACAUAAAAACAAGCAGAAAUCGUGAUUAGACCGCGGGCAGCAAUGGGAACCUCGACUCGGCAUCGCAAAUCUCGAAUCGAACACGAACUCAAGCCUAGAUCUCACAAACGAGCUCCAAAUGGACCCAACCUCCAAUGCCAAUUGGAGUUGAUAAUCAGCUGAAACCCACUGGUAGAAUGAUUUCCAGAGCAAUAAUCUACUUUGCUUUGUUCUUGUUACAUAUUCGUAUCAAAUAAUUAGGAGAAAAUAGACGAGAAAAUCAUUAGAAAAUUCCCAGAGGUAUCAAUCAAAUUAAAUAAAAAAAGUGAAGAAUCCCUGGCAUCAAUCUUUAGUAGAAAUAUGGCAAAUCUUACGCCAAACAUCAAUGUGGGGAUUCUGAAGCACUUGAAAAUGGGAAAUUUCAGAUUCAUAACUUUAUUUUUUUACGUCAAUAUAUAGCAAAAGGAAGCAGAAAAAUCUAAGAAAUAUAUGUAAAUAUAUAUGGAGCCGGAGGAAGGUGUGGUCGUUUGAGGGUGGUUGCUGGUUAGCGGUGUGUGUUGUGUUUUCGGGCAAUUUUUGAGAGAUUCAGAAGGUAGGUCAAGAAGAAGAAGCUUAUGCUUUUUGUAUGGAAAAACGGCGGAUUUUUGUGUGUCUAUAGGACUCGGGUCUAGAGU